GCCGUCGCAGCUCGAUUGGACGAGCACCUGGCUUACAUCCAGGGGGCUGGGGGUUCGAAUCCCUCCGACGGUA
rnacentral:tRNA from 1 species